rnacentral:rRNA from 1 species
GACGAUUGCUGGCGGCGUGCUUAACACAUGCAAGUCGAACGGAAAGGCCCUGCUUUUGUGGGGUGCUCGAGCGGCGAACGGGUGAGUAACACGUGAGUAACCUGCCCUUGACUUUGGGAUAACUUCAGGAAACUGGGGCUAAUACCGGAUAGGAGCUCCUGCUGCAUGGUGGGGGUUGGAAAGUUUCGGCGGUUGGGGAUGGACUCGCGGCUUAUCAGCUUGUUGGUGGGGUAGUGGCUUACCAAGGCUUUGACGGGUAGCCGGCCUGAGAGGGUGACCGGCCACAUUGGGACUGAGAUACGGCCCAGACUCCUACGGGAGGCAGCAGUGGGGAAUAUUGCACAAUGGGCGGAAGCCUGAUGCAGCAACGCCGCGUGCGGGAUGACGGCCUUCGGGUUGUAAACCGCUUUCGCCUGUGACGAAGCGUGAGUGACGGUAAUGGGUAAAGAAGCACCGGCUAACUACGUGCCAGCAGCCGCGGUGAAACGUAGGGUGCGAGCGUUUGUCCGGAUUAUUGGGCCUAAAGGGCUCGUAGGUGGUUGAUCGCGUCGGAAGUGUAAUCUUGGGGCUUAACCCUGAGCGUGCUUUCGAUACGGGUUGACUUGAGGAAGGUAGGGGAGAAUGGAAUUCCUGGUGGAGCGGUGGAAUGCGCAGAUAUCAGGAGGAACACCAGUGGCGAAGGCGGUUCUCUGGGCCUUUCCUGACGCUGAGGAGCGAAAGCGUGGGGAGCGAACAGGCUUAGAUACCCUGGUAGUCCACGCUGUAAACGGUGGGUACUAGGUGUGGGGUCCAUUCCACGGGUUCCGUGCCGUAGCUAACGCUUUAAGUACCCCGCCUGGGGAGUACGGCCGCAAGGCUAAAACUCAAAGGAAUUGACGGGGCCCCGCACAAGCGGCGGAGCAUGCGGAUUAAUUCGAUGCAACGCGUAGAACCUUACCUGGGUUUGACAUGGAUCGGGAGCGCUCAGAGAUGGGUGUGCCUCUUUUGGGGUCGGUUCACAGGUGGUGCAUGGCUGUCGUCAGCUCGUGUCGUGAGAUGUUGGGUUAAGUCCCGCAACGAGCGCAACCCUUGUUCACUGUUGCCAGCACGUUAUGGUGGGGACUCAGUGGAGACCGCCGGGGUCAACUCGGAGGAAGGUGGGGAUGACGUCAAGUCAUCAUGCCCCUUAUGUCCAGGGCUUCACGCAUGCUACAAUGGCUGGUACAGAGAGUGGCGAGCCUGUGAGGGUGAGCGAAUCUCGGAAAGCCGGUCUCAGUUCGGAUUGGGGUCUGCAACUCGACCUCAUGAAGUCGGAGUCGCUAGUAAUCGCAGAUCAGCAACGCUGCGGUGAAUACGUUCCCGGGGCU